UACUGACGAAAGGACGCGUUUU
rnacentral:miRNA from 1 species